rnacentral:hammerhead_ribozyme from 2 species
GCGCUGCUGGGGAGUCCCAGAACAGGACGGAACGGCCGUCCAGUGC